AGGUCUCGUUGGUGAACCAGCGGAGGGAUCAUUA
rnacentral:rRNA from 1 species